CUUUCUCUGAUCUAAUCCAUUAAGCACAGAAGAACUUCCAUCUGUCUUGAAUCCAUUCUGUCCAAUAGUGUCUGGGCAGUUUUCUGAUUUCUCUGAGACAAGUAUAGCAAGAGAAAACAUAAAAAUUCCCUCUAUCUUUGGAUCUGUUUCAGAGAAUGAAGUCACACAGUUUUCUCACUCCUCUACUAAAAGUUCACGAAGAGUUACUUUAGAAGCUCCUACUCAUGUUGCUGUCACAGAGAGAAAAUCUGUACAAGUACCUAAUGAAGCCAUACAGUUUUCUCACUCCUCUGGUAGAAGUUCACGAAGAGUUACUUUAGAAGCUCCUACUCAUGUCACUGUCACAGAGAACAAAUCUGUACAAGUAUCUAAUGAAGCUUUGCAGUUUUUUCACUCUCAUAAAGGUACACAAAGAGACACUUUAGAAGCUCCCUCUACUCAUGUCACUGUCACAGAGAACAAAUCUGUACAAGUAUCUAAUGAAGCCACACGGUUUUCUCACUCCUCUCGUAAAAGUUCACGAAGAGACACUUCAGAAGCUCCCUCUACUCAUGUUGCUGUCACAGUGAGAAAAUCUGUGCAAGUACCUAAUGAAGCCACACAGUUUUCUCACUCUGGUACAAGUUCACGAAGAGACACCUUAGAAGCUCCCUCUACUCAUAUUGCUGUCAUAGUAAGAAAAUCUCUACUACCUAAUGAAGCUGCGCAGUUUUCUCACUCUGGUACAACUUCACGAAGAGACACUUCAGAAGUUCCCUCUACUUGUGUCUCUGUCACAGAGGACAAAUCUGUACAAGUAUCUAAUGAAGCCACACAGUUUGAUCCCUCUACUCAUGUCACUGUCACAGAGAACAAAUCUGUACAAGUAUCUAAUGAAGCCACACAGUUUGAUCCCUCUACUCAUGUCACUGUCACAGAGGACAAAUCUGUACAAGUAUCUAAUGAAGCUUUGCAGUUUUUUCACUCUCAUAAAGGUUCACAAAGAGUCACUUUAGAAGAUCCCUCUACUCAUGUCACUGUCACAGAGAACAAAUCUGUGCAAGUACCUAAUGAAACCUCACAAUCUUGUCACUCCUCUCACAAAAGUUCACAAAGAGACACUUUAGAAGCUCCCUCUAUUCAUGUUGCUGUCACAGAGAACAAAUCUGCACAACCACCUAACCUCUCAGCUGCAGGCUUGUCAACAAUGCAGAUAAAAGAAGUCCUAUCUUUCUCAUCACUACUUUCCCAAGAGGAAUCCAUUCAAAAUCCCACAAACCUUGCUGUUAUUUCAGUCAAAAAGCUUACACAACUUCCUUUUUCUGAUCUAAAUCCAUUGAAUGUGAGUACAGAAGAACUUCCACCUGUCUUGAAUCCAUUUUGUCCAAUAGUAUCCAGGCAGUUUUCUGAUUUCUCUGAGACAAAUUUAACAAGAGAAACAAAAACUUCACAAAUUCCCCCCACUCGCCUCACUCUAAUGGUGAAUAAGUCAACACAACUUACUUCUUCCUUUAAUGUGUCUUCAUCAACUAUAUCCAGAGAAGAAAUUCAAUCUUUCCCAGGCCCUCUGAAAUCAAGGGAAAUCACCCAACAUCCCUCAAACACUGAAGUUAUGUUAGUCGAUGAAUUCACACAAUUUCCUUCUCUCUCUAACUUAAAUUCAUUGAACGAGAACACAAAUUUAUUGAGUGAGAAUACAGAACAACUUCCAUGUGUCUCACUUUCAACAAUAUCCAGGCAGUUUUCUGAUUUCUCUGAGACAAAUUUAGCAAGAGAAAACAUACAAUUUCCCUCUAUCCUUGAACACAUUCCUGUGAGAGAACGCACACCAUUUUCCGACUCCUUUGAUAAACAUUUACCAACAAAAACUUUACAAGUUUCCUCUACCCAUCUUGUGGACAAAUCAACACAACUUACCUCCAUGUCUGAUACAGAUUUAACAAAUGUAUCCCUUGAAGAAGUUUCAUCUUUUCCAGGUCCACAUUUACCUCAAGAAUCUGUACAGCUUCCCUCAAAUUUUGCUGCUGUUUCAGUCAACAAGGCCACCCAAUUCCCUUCCUCCUCUGACAUCAGUUCAUGA
ensembl:lncRNA